AUCAGUGGAAAGGCCACAUGAGGACAAAGCAGCCAUCUAGCAGCCAGAAGGAGAGCCCUCACCAGAAACUGAACACUGCUGGAAUCUUUAUCUUGAACUCUCCAGCCUCUAGAAUGAUGAGAAAAUAAAGGCCAAGUGCACACAGAGCACCUCACUGGAAGAAUCUGAGUCACCUCAUCCUUCUGAAACAAUUCUGGAAGUCUACCACCAUCUGCACAGCUUUCGUGGCAGCAAAUUAAUCCAGGGAAAAAUAAGCAAAUAAGACUGGCUCAGGGAAACACAGCAAGUAAGUGAAAAAUCCUUGAAUUAAACAAUUUAAGAAGACAUUGAGUGUGGGAACUUAGAAGAGUGGGUAAAGUAAAAAGAAGAAAGAAAACCUCAAAUACAAAAUCAAUGUAAACAGACAUCUUGCUCAGGUGGCUUACCCUGUUGUUACUUAUCUAGUAUUUAAAUGUCCAAGUGUCUGUUUCUUUGGAGAAAAAACUUUAUAGAAAGUACCUCCUUCAUAGCGCUGUUUAUAAGAAAAUGCGCAUCUGACAGGAAGUCUAUUUUUUGAGGACUGUGAUCUGCAGAGAAAACACUUAGAAGGACACAAUCAAAGUCAAAAGCCUAUACAUUUUGUGGAUAAGUGAUCCAAACCUAAGACAGUUACAAAGAAAAUGGCUCUCAGCUAUUUACAGCCAGACUUCAGGCCUUCUGUGGAUUUCUUUGGCAUUACCUCACUAAGUUAAUAUAUCAUCACUUGACAUUUAAUAAUAAAUACCUGAUGAAAUUA
rnacentral:lncRNA from 10 species